GCACUCCAGCCUGGGCAACAGAGUGAGACUCCAUUUUGAAAAAAAAAGAAGAAGAAGAAGAAGAAGAGGAGAUUAAGACACCACCACAUGCAGAGAGAUGACCAUGUGAGGAGGACAUCAGAAGAAGAUGGCCACCUACAAACAAGGAGGGAGGCCUCAGAAGAAACCAACCCUGCUGGCACCUUGCUCUCAGAUUUCCAGCCUCCAGAACCAUGAGAAAAUAAAUUUCUGUUGCUUAAGCUGCUGAAUGUAUGGUGCUUUAUAGUGGCAGCCUGAGCAGACUAACACAGAUUCUAAGCAAUGGGAGCUCUGUCAGGUGUGUGCGUUGGGGGAGACAUUAGAGAACUGUUAGUAGCUGACACUCACAGCGGCUGCGGGCACUGGCCCAGGAAAGGGCUUCUGGGCAGCCACGAAAACAGCAUCUACCCCAGCGGGCAAGUCCUCAGUCACAAAAAGGCAGUGCAGAUGCUGGAGGAUCAAACCAAAUAAGAGGUUUUGACUGCUCUAAGCUAUGAAACACAAAAAUUGGGACACCACCAGGACCUUUUGAAGUUGGAGCUUGAAGUCUCUUUGUAGGCAGAAUAUGUUUUGCCUUAAAAAUAGCACCCAAUGAUAACCCUUAUCAACACCCAUUCUGCAGAUAACAGGCCUCCCUCAGGGACCAUAUAGGUGCCAUUCUCCCCUAAAGUCAACUGUAGCCUCAAAGAGCCAUUGAAUUCAUAAAGCAGCAUGGAGAUACAGGUCAUAUUUUCUCCUCUCUAAACGUAGAAGCUUGUAAGGCUACAUGCUUUCUAGACACAAAAUACCGUAUUUCCUUUGCAUCUUAAUCCAUUCAACUCUGGUUGCAGUCAUCUUCUUAUUAUUCACUCCAUACCAGAUAGAUGAAUUUCCAUGAUUUUCUAGUUUCCAUUCUGGUUCUCCUGUUCCUGGUAGGGAUAACAGAGAACACUAUCUUUCUCUUUCUUCAAAGAUUCUGUCCUGUGAGAAUGUUCCUCUCCAGUGAUCUAGUAUAAACUGCACCAUCCAGCUCUACUCACGAUUUCGCUGACCACAGAUUAUUUGUGACAUAGAUUCUUAUUUCUCAUUUCUCCUGUGAUGUUAUACCCUGUGUCAAGCACAGAAGAAAUAAUGGAAACUACAUUCACCUUUAUUUUCCAAGCUUGAUAGAACUAUAGUGAUGUAUAGCAGUUGGCAUCAAAAGAUGAAGGUACAGUGAGACAUUUGGUUUAGUAAUCAAAGAGGUGAAUGAAAUAAGAUGGAACACCAAGUUUGAGACUAAUAUUUACACAGUGGUAUAACCCAAUGGUGAGUUGGAUAUGUUUUUUUAAAAGCCUACACAUUUUCUUCUGCAUAGGACAUCAGACAAUGAAAUACAAACAUGUAGAGUUUUUUGUUGUUGUUGUUGUUGUUGCUACAAUCAAAGCUAGAAAGGUUUAGAGUGUUUUCUUAGUAAACAGUCUUCAUAUGGUUAGGAAGAGGUCUUCAGGCAAAUGUACCAUUUCUCUAUAGGAGAAAUUGCUCUUUCUUCUAACAACUGCUGAAUUUAGUUUUCAGAUAUUAAAGUGUGGAAACCAAAUGGACGUCCAUCAAAAGGAUUGAAUUGGUGCAAAAAUGAGUGACUUCUGGACCUCUCUUUAUGGUUGCUUUGAGAACUACUGCAUCUAAAACUGGACUACAAUAGAAGGACUUACUGAGGAUUUGCUACGUGCAUUCACCAGGUCAGCACUCGGCAUCAAUGCAGCAGUAUCCCUUCAGCAGUAUCCCUGAAGCUAACGUUUCAGUGGGAGAGCAGGUGGUGACCCUUCUGUAAAGCAGUGGCUUACAAAUUGCAUAAGCUUUAGACCACAAACACCUCCAGCUGGGCCUCUUCCCACUGCUUAUGGAAGACCCCCCAAGGGCCCACAGGGGAAAGCAGGCCUCUCGUCUCAGCAGAAUCUCCCAAUUUCUUGUUAUUUGGUUGGUCAGUGUAGUCACUUAUAAUUAAAAAACAUUUUACCUUA